GAUGAACGCUGGCGGCGUGCCUAAUACAUGCAAGACGAGCGAACGGACGAGAAGCUUGCUUCUCUGAUGUUAGCGGCGGACGGGUGAGUAACACGUGGAUAACCUACCUAUAAGGCUGGGAUAACUUCGGGAAACCGGAGCUAAUACCGGAUGAUAUUUUGAACCGCAUGGUUCAAAAGUGAAAGACGGUCUUGCUGUCACUUAUAGAUGGAUCCGCGCUGCAUUAGCUAGUUGGUAAGGUAACGGCUUACCAAGGCAACGAUGCAUAGCCGACCUGAGAGGGUGAUCGGCCACACUGGAACUGAGACACGGUCCAGACUCCUACGGGAGGCAGCAGUAGGGAAUCUUCCGCAAUGGGCGAAAGCCUGACGGAGCAACGCCGCGUGAGUGAUGAAGGUCUUCGGAUCGUAAAACUCUGUUAUUAGGGAAGAACAUAUGUGUAAGUAACUGUGCACAUCUUGACGGUACCUAAUCAGAAAGCCACGGCUAACUACGUG
rnacentral:rRNA from 1 species